rnacentral:lncRNA from 1 species
AAAAUAGUUGACUAUGUAGAAUAUAAAGUCAACUUGAAAUUUAAAGAGUUAAAGGAAAGAAGAUGCAAACGCAAUUUUUAUACUGGUUCGGCCAAACUGCCUACAUCCAGUGUCCUUCCUGUACCCGAAAGCAAAUGCACUAUAAUGGUCAAGGUUUUUACAACAAGGUUUCUAUAGAGACCUCCAUGUCAAAAUGUAAAACACCUUUCUAACCCUCUAACCAAAAUAUAUGCAUAUAACACCCAAAGAACAACAACAAGAUAUCCCCUUUCCUACAGUCUUUGUCAAAUUUGAACAAUCCUCAAAGUUUCUAGAACGCAACACUUCAUCUUCCUGUAAUCACAAAAGGGCGGCCACAAUCUUCACAAGCUUGAGAGAAGUAUUUGAUCACGUAUGAAAACCUUUUGUCAAGCAGUCUUAAGUGCACACCAAUACUUGCUCGUCAAAGAACUCUUCAAAGAAUGAUCACCACGGUCUUCUUGAUGAGUUCUUGGAGCUUCUCACAUUCUAGCAGAGAUCAAGAUCUGAAACAAUUCAAUGAAAAUGUUAGAAUUACCAAAAAUCUCUGUAGAAUACAAAGUCACGAGUUUUAAUUGACUUACUUCAUAAUGAAGUCGACUUAAAACUUGAAGUUUUGCCACACAACAUAAGUUCAACCAAAGUGCAUGUAAUUUUCUUUUCCAAAACAUAUGUUAUGCAAUCACAGAUGAUAUCUCAUGUAGAAAGUAGUAAAUUUCACACGUAGACAGAAUUAACACAAACAUGUUCUUUAAGAAUUCAUACACAUGAAAGUAAUGAACAUGUAACACAUAUCAAUACAUGUGUUAUUAAUAAUGUAUUGUCAUCAUAAAAAACAAUAAGCACUGUGAGACUGUAAGGUUUAGCUAAACCAGUGCCCCCCUUAUCAACAAUCUCAACAAUAAUCAUAGUAAUUAUAAUUAUUUUUAGGAACACGUUUAACAACCUUUUUAAUUUUUGAAUUAUUACUACUUUCAGCGUUGUUUGUUUUAUCAAGAGACUUCUUUUUANUUAAACAUAUUUUUCAUUUUUAGUAUAUUUACCUUUCUUAUAAUAUAAAUUUUAUUUUUCAAAUCUUUAUUUUCCUUAAGAAUUUUUUCAUAAUUUNAUUUUAAUUCUUUAAAUUCUUUCUUCAAUUUCUUAUGAGCAUUAUCUAAUUUCUCUUAUUCGAUUAAUUAUUCUUUAUAUUUGAAAAGUAAUUUACUCUCACUAUAAUUUAAAUCUUCAGAAUCGCUAAAGGAACUUACUUGAUUUUAAGAGAUGUCAUCAGUCAUCAAACAUAUGUUGGCUUGCUCAUCAAAGUCUCUUGAGCUUAUUGUUGAUUCAUUAUCUUCUUCCCAAGCAAUAUAUGCCUUCUUUAUUCCUAAAGACUUUCUUUUGGCCUUUUUCUUCAUCCUUAUUUGGGUUUGGACAAUUUGCCUUCAUGUGUCCUUUUUCUUCGCAACAAUAACAACAAUAGUUUGAUGAUGAUUCCUUGUUUUCCUUCUUAUUUUUAAAUAUUCUUUUGCCCUUGGACUUCAUGAACUUGUUAAAUUUCUUAAUAAAGAGAUCCAUAUUUUCUUCAUCUUCUUCAAAGUCUUCUUCUUCAUUAAGAUGUUUGCUUUUAUCAAUAUCAGAUUUGAAUGCCAGAGUUUUUUUCUUUCCUUUCUUUUCAUCCUCAUUCAAUCUCUUGAGAUCCAGUUCAUGUUCUCUCAACUUACCAAACAAUGCAGCCAUUGACAUGGUAUUAAGAUUUUGUGACUCACUAAUGGCAGUCACCUUUGGUUGCCAAGUCUUGUCCAAAUAUUUAAGAAUUUUUAUAUUUAAUUCAUUUUUUAAUAUCUACAAUAGUUUCCACCUGCUUCAUUAAGAACAUCUCAUACUCUUGGAUUAGAAUAUUUCUUCUGGUUCUCCUAACAUCAUCAGUGCCUUCAUGGGUGACUCUCAACAUCUCCCACAUCUCUUGAGCAAUCUUACAGGUUGAGAUGCUGUAAAAUUCAUCAACAGUUAAAACAAAUGAUAUUAUAUUACGAGCCUUUAUGUCCUGUUGAGAUCUUCUUCUAUCAUCAACAUUCUAUUGUUCUUGUGGUUUGGAUUCUUACAAAUUGUUAAUAAACAUAGUAGGAACAAAAGGACCAUUUGUGACAGUUUCCCAAAUCUCACUAUCAAUAAAUUCCAUGAAAAUUUGCAUUCUCACUUUCCAAAAAGCACAGUUUUCUCUAGUCAACAAUGGAGGUCUAUUGAUAAACACACCCUCAACAAAGGUUUGAUGUUUCCUUGUCAUUUUGAAUUACUAUCAAAGCAAGCUCGGAUACCAAUUGUCAAAGCAGCGCAACAGAAUGGUUAACGCGUUCAAUAAACCAAGAGGAGGAUGAAUUGGUUUCUUAUCGCAAAUCGUUCUUUCAAUAAUUUUCUGUUAAACAAAUUAAAGAAUAAGGAAGAGAGAAAAUUGCACAAGUAAUUUUUAUACUAGUUUGGAUCAUAAAGAUCCUACGUCCAGUUGUUAAUAUCAACCGAGAAUUAAUAGUGCACUAGCACAAACCAACAAACUAUUACAAUCACAAAGAAAAUAAAAGAGUUUAAGGUUAGAACACCUCUCUUGUUACCCCAAGAGGAGAAACUCACUUCUCUUAUAACCCUCAAGAGAUGAACACCUCCUUGAAUGCUUCACGAAGGAUGACCACCUCCUUUGCGUUUUCACAAAGGAUGAACACCUCCUUUGAAU